AAUUACUCCAGAGAAUUGUUUAUAUUAAAAACAGGCUGAGAAUCGUUUGACUUGUAAUCACCUGGAGGAUAGUCAGCUUGUCAAGAUUACUAUGGAAAAUCCCUG
ensembl:misc_RNA